UGCGGACUGUGACUUCAGCUGUGAUAGAGACUGCAUCAUAUUCUGCCAAAGAGGCUAUUAUUACAAUUCAGGAAACUGUCUGGAAUGUCCUGUGGGUUUUUACUGUUCAGGGGAAGGAACAUCUGCCCCAAGGAAAUGUCCUCCUGGUACCCAUAACUACUUCACCGGGAAAGCGGAUCUAAAAGCUUGCCUGCCUUGCCCUCCAGGCUCCAUCAGUACAGAGGAGGGAGCAGCCUGCAGGCCGUGCCCAGCCGGCGCCUCCUGUGAUCCAGGUUCCGGUGAGCUGAGGGCCUGCCCCCCGGGGCAGCACUCGCCCGAGGGGGUCCUGCACUGCCUGCCCUGCACUUGGGGCUUCGUCUGUCCUGAUGGCCACGUUAAAAAGAGCUGCCCCCCAGGACAGGAGCCCAACCCUUCCCAGUCUCGCUGCAUAGACUGCCCAGAAGGUCACUUCUCAUCAGUGGGGAGUGACAAGUGUCAGCUC